GUGGCUGGCGGCUGGGUGCCUUCUACUGGUGCUGUGCAGAGGCUUUCCCUAAGGCUGCUGUGAGCCUGUAGGGUUCCCCCUAGGCUACGAACCUGG
rnacentral:pre_miRNA from 1 species